rnacentral:lncRNA from 1 species
UUCAUUCUAAUGAGAAAGUCGCUCCGAAUGGGCGAGGCCUCAUUCGCUCUGCCUCCGAGAGGCAGGGACCGGCCGAGGGCCCGAUGGGAACGCAAUGAAUGAAUGAAUCUCCAUAAAGAGCCCCGAGCGGGAGUUAGAGAGCGGAGGAGGCAGAGCGGGCAGCAAACCUGGGCUGGCGGGGAGCGCAGUUCAAAUAUUGGGCUUGGUGAUCCGUCCUCAAGGAUCCCUAAUGUUGAGUCCCCUGAGCAAAUGCACAUGAUGAUUAGGCAACAUUCAUGA